AUUGAACGCUGGCGGCAGGCUUAACACAUGCAAGUCGAGCGGUAGAGGGGAGCUUGCUUCCCUUGAGAGCGGCGGACGGGUGAGUAAUGCCUAGGAAUCUGCCUGGUAGUGGGGGACAACGUUCGGAAACGGACGCUAAUACCGCAUACGUCCUACGGGAGAAAGUGGGGGAUCUUCGGACCUCACGCUAUCAGAUGAGCCUAGGUCGGAUUAGCUAGUUGGUAGGGUAAAGGCCUACCAAGGCGACGAUCCGUAACUGGUCUGAGAGGAUGAUCAGUCACACUGGAACUGAGACACGGUUCAAACUCCUACGGGAGGCAGCAGUGGGGAAUAUUGGACAAUGGGCGCAAGCCUGAUCCAGCCAUGCCGCGUGUGUGAAGAAGGUCUUCGGAUUGUAAAGCACUUUAAGUUGGGAGGAAGUUCAGUAAGUUAAUACCUUGUUGAAUUGACGUUACCGACAGAAUAAGCACCGGCUAACUCUGUGCCAGCCGCCGCAGUAAUAC
rnacentral:rRNA from 1 species